rnacentral:rRNA from 1 species
GACAGAGGUGCCGAGCGUUAGGCGGAAUCACUGGGCUUAAAGCGUGUGUAGGCGGAUCGUUAAGUACCUUGUGAAAUCCCACGGCUUUAACCGUGGAACUGCUUGGUAUACUGGCGAUCUUGAGCCACUUAGGGGCUACCGGAACAAAUGGUAGAGCGGUGAAAUGCGUAGAUAUCAUUUGGAACGCCAAUGGUGAAAACAGGUAGCUGGGAGUGUGCUGACGUGAGACACGAAAGCCAGGGGAGCAAACGGGG